rnacentral:lncRNA from 1 species
AUCGUCUUUCAGCUGUUGAUUAAAAAAUAAAGAGUACUACCCGUUGUUUAUUUAUUACAUAAAAUAUCAGCGGACUCUCCUUUACUUUGCUAUUGAGAUUCCAAUUCUUUGAUAGGAUUUCAGGGAAAAAUGGGAGAAUUUCAGGAGAAAAGAAAGAAUGAAUAUAAGUGAAAGAAAUGGCAAGAGUAUUUUAAAGAGAACGAAUCAGGAUGCAUAAUGUAGUUACCUAAAGUACUAUAAAUUCUCAAAGUUAUUUAUCUAGGAUUGUGAAUUCAUAUUACCAAUGUAUCAUACCCAGUUAUGGGAACCAUAAUAAGUGACUUAUAAGUUAUGGGCUCUUUGAACGAAUUUUUAUGUGUAGAAAUGUAGUUUGAUACAAUGACAUUUGAAUAUAUUACUACUUUUGUUAUGAAUAAUAAUGAUCUUCAGUGAUAUUUAUCAAAGAAUAUGAAUAUUACAACACUAUAUAUUCAUUUAUUUUAAUUUGGAAUGAGAAUCCAACUCAAGCUCUAUUAACUUGUAAAACAAAUAUUAAUGUAAAUGAUUUUGUUUAAUUCCAUCGAUUAAUUUAUUUAUUAAAUAAAUGUGAAUACAUAUUUAAUGAGAACA